rnacentral:rRNA from 1 species
UAGGGAAUCUUCGGCAAUGGGGGGAACCCUGACCGAGCAACGCCGCGUGAGUGAAGAAGGUUUUCGGAUCGUAAAGCUCUGUUGUUAAGGAAGAACGAGUGUGAGAAUGGAAAGUUCAUGCUGUGACGGUACUUAACCAGAAAGGGACGGCUAACUACGUGCCAGCAGCCGCUGUAAUACGUAGGUGGCAAGCGUUAUCCGGAAUUAUUGGGCGUAAAGCGCGCGUAGGCGGUCAAUUAAGUCUGAUGUGAAAGCCCCCGGCUCAACCGGGGAGGGUCAUUGGAAACUGGUUGACUUGAGUGCAGAAGAGGAGAGUGGAAUUCCAUGUGUAGCGGUGAAAUGCGUAGAUAUAUGGAGGAACACCAGUGGCGAAGGCGACUCUCUGGUCUGUAACUGACGCGGAGGCUCGAAAGCGUGGGUAGCAAACAGG